AUACCUAGACACACUGUAAAUAGCUAAAGAUAGACAAUAAGACCCUACACUACAACAUCACGGCCGCACCUAGCAGCUGGAAAAAAACCACCACACCUAAAAAUCAUGAGCCACAAUUUACCAAAAAGAAAAACCAUAAAAAACCUACACUAGAGAUCAGCCGCAUACUACACCAACACACAAAUCAUCCUAAUAGACUAAUCUCACUACACCAUACUAGCCGCAGCACCAAAAAGAAGACCUAGACUAAUCAACCGGACCAGAAAAUAAUCAGCUGCAAAUCGAGAGGUUCUUCGAGUUUUUGGUUCGAGGUUGAAAAGUCGAGGUUUCCAGUCCAAAGUUGUUGAAAUCUCUUAAAGGAUGUUGCAUCAUGAUCCUUGACAUAAUGCCAACAAAGAACACUUUUUUUAUUGGUGCUUCAAAAGAAAGGAGGUUUAUAAAGCCACAUGGAGUAUUCCCAGGACGACUCCCUAAGAUUAUUGAUCAAGUCAAUGCAUUGGACAUCAUGAGGUACAUGCAAAGCCUCAGAUGUACGAGAUGGAGGUGCAACUGCUGUUGGUAGCGCCAUAAGCAUGAUACACGAAGAAGCCAAUAUGUAAAGUUAUAAAAGUUUAUCUUUAAUUUUUUGCGACUAGCUACAAACUAUAUGUCGACCUUAAAAUCA